UACAGAGGUGGCAAGCGUUGUUCGGAAUUACUGGGCGUAAAGGGCGCGUAGGCGGCUUUGCAAGUCGGGUGUGAAAUCCCCAGGCUCAACCUGGGAACUGCAUUCGAGACUGCAUUGCUAGAGUAUGGGAGAGGGAAGUGGAAUUUCCGGUGUAGCGGUGAAAUGCGUAGAUAUCGGAAGGAACAUCAGUGGCGAAAGCGACUUCCUGGACCAAUACUGACGCUCAUGUGCGAAAGCGUGGGGAGCAAACAGG
rnacentral:rRNA from 1 species